GAUUCUGGCUCAGGAUGAACGCUGGCGGCGUGCCUAACACAUGCAAGUCGAACGGGUUAAGGGAAGUUUCGGAUGGAACUUAACUAGUGGCGGACGGGUGAGUAACGCGUGGAUAACCUGCCUCGCACUGGGGGAUAGCAGCUGGAAACGGCUGGUAAUACCGCAUAAGACCACGAUGCCGCAUGGCAUUGGGGUAAAAGAUUUAUCGGUGCGAGAUGGAUCCGCGUCUGAUUAGCCAGUUGGCGGGUAACGGCCCACCAAAGCGACGAUCAGUAGCCGGCCUGAGAGGGUGAACGGCCACAUUGGGACUGAGACACGGCCCAAACUCCUACGGGAGGCAGCAGUGGGGAAUAUUGCACAAUGGGCGCAAGCCUGAUGCAGCAACGCCCGCGUGAGUGAAGAAGUAUUUCGGUAUGUAAAGCUCUAUCGGCAGGGAAGAAAGGCCCGAAAGGGAGAUGACGGUACCUGACUAAGAAGCCCCGGCUAACUACGUGCCAGCCGCAGC
rnacentral:rRNA from 1 species